GACGAACGCUGGCGGCGUGCCUAAUACAUGCAAGUUGAGCGCUGAAGGUUGGUACUUGUACCAACUGGAUGAGCAGCGAACGGGUGAGUAACGCGUGGGGAAUCUGCCUUUGAGCGGGGGACAACAUUUGGAAACGAAUGCUAAUACCGCAUAAAAACUUUAAACACAAGUUUUAAGUUUGAAAGAUGCAAUUGCAUCACUCAAAGAUGAUCCCGCGUUGUAUUAGCUAGUUGGUGAGGUAAAGGCUCACCAAGGCGAUGAUACAUAGUCGACCUGAGAGGGUGAUCGGCCACAUUGGGACUGAGACACGGCCCAAACUCCUACGGGAGGCAGCAGUAGGGAAUCUUCGGCAAUGGACGAAAGUCUGACCGAGCAACGCCGCGGGAGUGAAGAAGGUUUUCGGAUCGUAAAACUCUGUUGGUAGAGAAGAACGUUGGUGAGAGUGGAAAGCUCAUCAAGUGACGGUAACUACCCAGAAAGGGACGGCUAACUACGUG
rnacentral:rRNA from 1 species